rnacentral:rRNA from 1 species
UACGUAGGUGGCAAGCGUUUGUCCGGAUUUACUGGGCGUAAAGAGCGCGCAGGCGGUCGUUCAAGUCGCGUGUGAAAGCCCCCGGCUCAACUGGGGAGGGUCAUUCGAUACUGAUCGACUUGAAGGCAGGAGAGGGAAGCGGAAUUCCCAGUGUAGAGGUGAAAUUCGUAGAUAUUGGGAAGAACACCGGUGGCGAAGGCGGCUCACUGGCUCAUUUCUGACGCUCAGGCGCGACAGCGUGGGGAUCAAACAGG